rnacentral:rRNA from 1 species
AUUGAACGCUGGCGGCAUGCUUUACACAUGCCAGUCGAACGGUAACAGGCCGCAAGGUGCUGACGAGUGGCGAACGGGUGAGUAAUGCAUCGGAACGUGCCCAGUCGUGGGGGAUAACUACUCGAAAGAGUAGCUAAUACCGCAUACGAUCUAUGGAUGAAAGCGGGGGACCGUAAGGCCUCGCGCGAUUAGAGCGGCCGAUGUCAGAUUAGGUAGUUGGUGGGGUAAAGGCUCACCAAGCCAACGAUCUGUAGCUGGUCUGAGAGGACGACCAGCCACACUGGGACUGAGACACGGCCCAGACUCCUACGGGAGGCAGCAGUGGGGAAUUUUGGACAAUGGGCGCAAGCCUGAUCCAGCAAUGCCGCGUGCAGGAAGAAGGCCUUCGGGUUGUAAACUGCUUUUGUACGGAACGAAACGGCUCUGGUUAAUACCCGGGGCUAAUGACGGUACCGUAAGAAUAAGCACCGGCUAACUACGUG